GACGAACGCUGGCGGCGUGCCUAAUACAUGCAGGUUGAGCGCUGAAGGUUGGUACUUGUACCAACUGGAUGAGCAGCGAACGGGUGAGUAACGCGUGGGGAAUCUGCCUUUGAGCGGGGGACAACAUUUGGAAACGAAUGCUAAUACCGCAUAAAAACUUUAAACACAAGCUUUAAGUUUGAAAGAUGCAAUUGCAUCACUCAAAGAUGAUCCCGCGUUGUAUUAGCUAGUUGGUGAGGUAAAGGCUCACCAAGGCGAUGAUACAUAGCCGACCUGAGAGGGUGAUCGGCCACAUUGGGACUGAGACACGGCCCAAACUCCUACGGGAGGCAGCAGUAGGGAAUCUUCGGCAAUGGACGAAAGUCUGACCGAGCAACGCCGCGGGAGUGAAGAAGGUUUUCGGAUCGUAAAACUCUGUUGGUAGAGAAGAACGUUGGUGAGAGUGGAAAGCUCAUCAAGUGACGGUAACUACCCAGAAAGGGACGGCUAACUACGUG
rnacentral:rRNA from 1 species